ACUAGGAAAUCUCUGUCAGUUAGAGAAAUGUCUUCUGUUAGAAGACAAUUGGAUUCUCAUAUCUAAUUUUGCAUCCAGUCUCUUGUGAUAUUACACAUCAUGUAGCCUCUGGAAAAUGGUUAUGUAUACUUGAGAAAAUGAGUGUAGGGAACCUAUGGUUUGGAUAUGAUUUGAUUGCAUUCCCCAAAGGUUCAUGUGCUGGAAGCUUGGUACCAAUAUGGUAAGUAGUGUUGAGUUGGAUCCUUUAAGACAUCGUGCCAGAGGAUUGUGGUUAGAUCAUAGGGCCUCUACCCUCAGAAGGACAUAAUAUUAGUUUCAAGGAGUGAGUGAGAUUUUGUAAGAGUAAUUUGUUAUGAAGUGAGGACGCCCAAUGUGCUGGGUCCUUUUGGUCUUCUCUAUUGUAUUGUGGUGCAGCAGGAGGAACCUUGCCCUAUGUUCUCAGACCACCAGAACUUGGAAUCCAGAGCUCAAUGUGUCUCUUUAUAAAGUACUCUGGUUAUUUUGUUACAGUAGCAUAAAACAGAAUGAUACAGUGAAAAAGGCAAAUAAUACUUUAACAAUAUUAUGAAAAUAUUUUUGACCUCAAAAAGGUCUCAAAAGAAACAGAUUUCCCAAACCAUACUUUGAGAAUGCUUAGUUGAGAAUUUUCUGGUGAAAAUUAAUUUUUUUUUUACUUUUCUUUUUUAAAACAAGGAUAUUUAUUUUAGGGAGGUUCCCAUUUCUUUUUUUCCACAUUUUUUAUUGGUGCAUUACAGCUGUACACAAUGAUGGGAUUUGUUGAUACAUAUUCAUACAUACACACAAUAUAAUUAUAUAUUUUGGCCAAUAUUACUUCUCAGCACUUCUCCCCUUCUUCCCCUCCUUCCACCCCUUGGUCCUUUUCUUCUGUUCUACUUAUCUCCUUUUGAUUUUCAUGAGACACCCACCCUAACCUUUCUGUUCAAAACAAGGAUAUUUAAUACCCAUAAAAAUAAAAGGUGACUAUGGCUUCUCAUUCAUCAUUAAAGUUAAUGAUUUGAAGAGUUGGUAGUUUAACAUCAGUAGCUCUUGGAAAAUCUAUUUACUUUGAAUUUUUUUCCUUCAAACUUUGACCUUGCUGGUAAGUACACUUCUACUUAAAUGCUAUUUAUUCCUUUUAAAAGAGCAAAAAGAAAAAUUGUAUUUUUUAAAAAAUCCUAUUUUUGAUUUUUCUUCUUUAAUUGAGCCUUUUUCUCAAUAGAAACACACUUGGUCCUGUGUAUCUGUGGAUUCUGCAUCUGUGGAUUCAACCAAUCUCAGCUCAAAGCACCUGUAGCUGGUCCGGCUGCCCGCAUCCAAGAAGUGACAGAUGGAUAACUUCAUCUAAACAAACUUUUUAGUUUUGAAAAGUGCUCGUAGAUCUUUUAUACACAUUCAUCCCAAUUUCAAACAUGGAGUCAUUUAGAAAAGCUCAAGUAUGUACUUGUUACCCUACAUGGAGAAUCAUUGGGGUGGCAAAGUAAUCUGCUUAUUCUCUGUCCUGGCUCCCAUUUUACUUCAUUGGACAACAACCUUUACAGAGGUUUUUCAGGGAGGCCUUUCCAUAAUCUGGCUUUGACCUGCUUUCUCACCUGGCCACCAUUGUCUACCUACCCAUGUCUGUGCACAGAGUCAGCAGCAGCAGCAGCAGCAGCAGCAGCAGCGGGCCAGAGAAUUCUUUGAGAGGCAACAUGGCUAUAAAUCAGCAAGUCCUGUGAACGUGCAUUCCAGGGUCUUGGAGGAAAAGCCUGCACACAAAAGCACCUCUUCUGAGUCUUCAGGAAUGCUGUGAAGUGAUGCCAGAAGUUUCAGUAGCCAUAGCAAUGAACACCAAGAUAAAAAGCCAAUAACCAAAGAUGGAAUACAGUGGUCAGAAAGAACCUGGGUUCUUGAUGAUACCAUAGAGUACUGAACUGCUAGACUUCUUAUUAG